rnacentral:lncRNA from 1 species
AGAGAGAGAGAGAGAGACAUUGGAAGAAACACGCGAGGAGUUGUGCAGUGACGACAAGAUUAGGCAACUGUACUCAGGACUCAUUCAAACCCUAUUUCCAGAAGAAUCUGCACUCAAAUUGUGUCCUCACAUCUGACAUUACAACGACAGCAUACAGUAUAUUGGAAGUAAAUACCGAAGCUCUUAGGUCAUGUUUACCGUGAAUGAUAACUUCAAUGCUACAAAUCGAGGUGUGGCUUCUGGGGUAGACUUUCAUCACGAGGACCUUUCGCAAUUACAUUUACAUGGAGGUGUUUCUUUUAUAUCUUAAAGGCUUGGGAAGCACUUACGUGAAUGCAACAGCCGUAAGUCACAUCGCCAUGAAAUUCGGAGAAUUGACUGAGUCAAAAUUGGAAAACUGUGUUUAUUCCGCAUCCGCAACUCUUCGUUGUUGAAAUGCAUUCACGAGUCACCCUGGUCACUUUCGCAGGCAACUUCCAUGCCGAAGCAUAGUUGGCCUUCUGAAAAGUGGUAUAACUAGAAUUGUCAGAAGUUUGAACUUAAAACCUGGACCUGCAGAAUCGGCUUGCUUAGAUACGGAUUGCAAAAGUGAAGCUCUUUGAAGUUGCAAGGUUGCCAAAAAUAGCACGCUAGCAUUUAAAAGUGUUUUUGUACUGGCACUAAGAAGUGGGGGAUUUUGUUUUUAUCCAACGAACCCAUCACGGCAGUCGCACUGCAGACGAGCCAUUCUAACAUUACUCAUGCGGAAUGACUCAUGAGCUAUUACUACUGAUUGCUCACCCAUCACCCGUGGUUAGCUCUAACGGGAAAAUCGUCAUAAAGCAUUUUCACCCAACGGCCUCGACUGAUGGCAAUAGCGGUGUCGGAGCCCUAAAAAUCCACAAAAUGCCCAGCACAACGGAUCGAAUCUCACAAUGAGCACGAUCUCGACGAGAGAUUUCCAUUACUUACGAUUCCCUUACCCCGACGUAAUCCAACACACAUGAAGUCGAUACCCAUUAAUUCUUGGGCGGACGAGUGAAUUGAAGGAGCGGGUCUAGGGUUUUUAGCUGAAGACCCAGAAGUACAAACGCAUAGAUUGCUUGUUCCUGGUGUGAUCACGAGAUGACACCCCUCUCCCCCGCAAAGU